GAUGAACGCUGGCGGCGUGCUUAACACAUGCAAGUCGAACGAAGCACUUUAUUUGAUUUCCUUCGGGACUGAUUAUUUUGUGACUGAGUGGCGGACGGGUGAGUAACGCGUGGGUAACCUGCCUUGUACAGGGGGAUAACAGUUGGAAACGGCUGCUAAUACCGCAUAAGCGCACAGCAUCGCAUGAUGCAGUGUGAAAAACUCCGGUGGUAUAAGAUGGACCCGCGUUGGAUUAGCUAGUUGGUGAGGUAACGGCCCACCAAGGCGACGAUCCAUAGCCGACCUGGGAAGGUGACCGGCCACAUUGGGACUGAGACCCGGCCCAAAAUGCUACGGGAGGCAGCAGUGGGGAAUAUUGCACAAUGGGCGAAAGCCUGAUGCAGCGACGCCGCGUGAGCGAAGAAGUAGUUCGGUAUGUAAAGCUCUAUCAGCAGGGAAGAUAAUGACGGUACCUGACUAAGAAGCACCGGCUAAAUACGUG
rnacentral:rRNA from 1 species